rnacentral:lncRNA from 1 species
UAUAGCCUUGAUCAUCCUGGAACCCAUUCAGUAUACCAGGCUGACCUCAAACUCAGAAAUCCCAAAUGAUAGGAUUAAAGACGUGCACUACGCCACCAAGGCCCUAGGUGUCAGAGGGCAUGAAGUUGAAGUCUCACUUUUCUCUGGAUCACUUGAAGUCUUUUCUGCCUGGGAGCUAGUGCAAAAGCUGCUGUCUUCUGUAUUGCUACGCGACACACAAGAGAAGCAAUCUUAGUAGUAAUCUGUCCAGGUAA